GUUUUCCAGAAAAUGAACAAUAAAUAGGUUCUUUCAUAUUUUAUUGUUGGACAUUAGAAUUCAUGUUUUUGUCAUUUAAUUUCAGGUGAUUUUGAAUUUGCCACCAUUGGGAAGAGGAGUUCCAGCACCAACGGGACUCCUGCAUAUAUGGCUCCCGAGGCACUUGCCUGUCUCGUAGAUGACCAUCUGGACUAUGACCACAGGGCCGACAUCUGGUCAUUGGGAGUCAGCGCCAUUGAAAUGGCACAGGGCUAUCUCCCAUACGGCAAUCUGAGGGGCCACAAGCUGAUCAACAGAAUUCUCAAAGGUCCUGCUGUAACACUCACGGGGAACAACUGGUGAGUGACUCCCCCUGAAAUAGGAAAAGAGAG